rnacentral:lncRNA from 1 species
CAUGGAAACACACAGAGGCAGGACUGCUGGCUGCACGCUGGACUUGAGCAGAAAGAGUGCAUUGAGGAAUGAGAUUUGCCAGUUUGUGGAUCCCCUUGGCUAGUUAGAGGCGCAGGCAGCCUAACAUUGAAGAUGGGUGCUAACCAGAAGAGGAAACAGCACUGGAGCAGAAUAAUAAUAAAAAGGAAGGAAGCAAAGGCAGGGACUUUGCUUCUCUUAAUUGGUUGAUUAAAAUCCAAGUCUUUUAUCACCCCUGGUGUCUAGCACACUAUUGGGCACAUAGAAGGCUGUGAAUAAGUGUGGAAAUAUUGGAAUGGAAUGAGGGGUAAUGAGAGGAGAAGCCAGCAGUGCUUGUAAUAUCAGCACAUGGAGAGAUGCUGAGAGGGCCCCUGGCAGGAGGCAGAAGAAGAACCUGACUAAGUGAAGUGUGGACGUGCCCUGCAGGAAGUUGUUCCUUUCUGGAAGGCUUUGAAUGCCCUUUGGGUCACCAGAGACAACGCCAAGAGAAACAGCCUCUGCCAAGCCACCCACUGCUCAGCUUCAACAGGAAACCAUCGCGUCCUUCUGUUCUUUAAUGCAUGUCAGUGCCCAUUUCUGUCAGUCACCUGCAAAUGUCACAGGUGACUCGGCUCUGGUGCAGUGUGACAGUCCACCUGUCACCCUUGGCAAUGCUGGGAGCAAUGACAGCUUCAGAGUAACACUGGGGCCCGGUUGGUUCAUUGCACAGGAAGCUUAGCACGUUCAUCCGGGAGUGGCAGGAGGAGUGAUUCCCACCCUUCCCUGCCUCACUGACCUUGUGGCAAAGAAAGCAAAACCACCACUUAAUCCCUCAGUGGUUGCGUUCCCUAAAUCCUAGGACCUGCACUUUUUCUGCGUCUUGCUAGAGGACGCUGGGGUCCACCCCACAUUCACAAGGAGUUCUGUUUCUUCAGGGAGAUGCCCUCUGAAGCCUUUUUCUUACAUAGGAAGCUGCACCUGAGUGAGGGGCAACUGCGGAGGCAGAGAGGAGCUGUUCUUCUGAAGCCGCACCAAGAGCUGGGGCACUAUUUUGGGCCCUGACGCCAGGUGAAGGCUGCAGUGCCUCAGUCAGCCUGAUGGUGGCAGCAGCAGCGCUUGCAAAGCCCUGAACCUGCCCAGAGAGAGCAGAGCCCGGGAGGUCCCUUAGGACGGGGAAGGGGAAAGCCUAGUGGCUGCCGGGAGCUGGGAAGGGACGGGAGGGAUGGGGGGCUCUCCUCCUCGCCUCUGGGUGGUGAGGGCAACGUUACAGAUGGCGGCGGCUCUCGCAGGAGGCGGGUUCCUCUCUCCUGAUUCUGCAGGGUGUGAGGGUGGAGUGUUUGAGGGGAUCCGGAUGAAGGGUGGCAGCAGCUAAGGGGGUACAAUUGCAAAUGCUCAGAGGGGCUUGAGAGAGCUUCAAAGAGAGGGAGCGAGGAAGCUCAGCCCACCACACGGGUUUCCCUGCCACAGGGAUGAUGUUUCUCUCCUGUAUGUGAAGGUGAGUCCUCCCCAGCAGGGGGACCGCCAGCCCAGAGCCCCUACCUCUCCCUAGAGCCGCCUCCAGGCCUGUGCCCCCUGCCCCGCUCCAGGCGUUUUCCCUUCCACAAGGAGUGAUUCCACCCUUCCAGGGUCAGGGAGCCAAUAUUUCUGUUGUCAUUCCCCGCAAAUGCUGAAAAAACAAAACAAACAGAUGCUAAAAUGAGGCUUCAUUAUUCCUGAUCUCCUGGGCAGGCUGUGGAGGUGCUACUCUGUUUUCACCUCUGGAUGGUAUUACUAAUUUCCAACAACACCAUUAUAAAAAACCACCACGGGCCAUGGCUGUUUGAACAUCCUUCCAGGCAAGAUAACUGGAUCCUGGCCACAGGCCCUGGAAACAAUGGCCUUCAUGCUGCAGGAGAGACACCGGGGGAACCCUGUUGGCCCUAAGACUUCGUUCCCCUGUUGGCCCUAAGACUUCGUCAUGCCUUUCUUUACCUCCAAGGGGAUGGCGGCUCACCUUUUUUGCCACUUGAUAAUUGUGACGAGAUGUGUCUGAGAUCCCGAGUUGAUCCACAGGCAGCGUGAACUAAGAUAGCGGGAAUAGAAUGAAGGAAAGGUGCAGCCACCAUGGGAACAAUCCACUCCCUUGUCUGGUCUGCAGCCUGAGUGGUUGGUAGAGCUGGCGGUUUAUGUUACCUUUGGCCUUUCAUUCAGUUUUUCUGAAGUUGCUGGAGGGAUUUUCUAUACGGUGUGCUGAGACCCCAGCAGCUUCCCUCAGCUGACUCACCAUCAGAGUCCCUUGCCGCUCUCUCUGCAUCAGGGUGAGCUGCCACUGCCCCCUUCGUCCCCACAGUGCCAGCCUUUCUGGGCAGUGGAGUUGGGCUGAAGGCAGGAUUGCUGUCUUCAUUUUACUGAUAGUUCUACUAGCAAAUUCCAGGUGACUUCUUCAGCAUCUCUUGUAGAAAAGAAAACUUUUUGCAUAAGUUUUGCAAAACCUUACUUCAAACUGCAGAGUUGAUGCUACAAGGGUAGAAGAGGAAACAUAGAGCUGCAUAGUUUGAGAAUUUACUGAAAAUAAUGGGGACUGAGCUCCUCCUCAAAUUAAAAGAUGUUAUACCAACGAGGUGUUUGACCUUGGCCCUGCUGUCCCCCGACCCCUUGAUUUGGCCACUUUUUCCCUUUCUCCUUUCACCAAGAGCUGCGUUAGUGUUUUGGGAUACCUUAAUAGAAAGCUGAACUGAGGAGGGAGGAGAGUGGUGAGAAAAAAAAAUCAAAACCUGUAAUGGUUUCAGUGUGCUGGCCUCAGCAUGUUUCUCUACCCCCGAAGCCUUGUGAUUGCUGAAUGGGGACCAGCCACGGGGAGAUGGUACUGAGGCCUGUGGCCAGGCCCACUGCUGAGUUUUGCAUGCAUUCCCUUAUUCCAUCCCCUAGCAAUCUAAUAAAGUAGGGAUCCUUAGACCCAUUUGCCGAUGAAAACUACUGAGGCUUAGACAGAUUCGGUAACUUGCCUGAAGGUCAUUCGACUGGAGAGUCAAAGACCUGCCAAUCAAACACCCUUGUGCAGACCCCUUACAGCCCUUGCUGCUGCUCCAUUCAGGAGCCACCUCCAGGCCUAUGCCCACCUGUGCCCUCGACACGGCUGUGGAGGCACCAGUAUUUCUGAAAUUCUUUUUUCUGAAAUUCUUCAGGAAGGAUUUCAGAAAUACUGGUGUCCCGACAGCCGUGUGACCAUCAGCAAGCCACAGAAACCCCUGCCCUGGCCGGUGGGUCCCCUCCUUCAUAGCUUGUAGGAUUUGGGACGGAGAGCUGAUAAAAAUGGAAGAAAACCUCUUCCCCCAAACAAAAGCUGAGUAAGAAUUUGAGAAGCUUUCCUCCAUGGCUAGCGACUGCUCUCUGCCUCCACAACCCACUUCCAGUAUAGCUUAACAUUUUGAAAGCCAAAUGCUGAUUUCUUUAAAAGAAUUCAUCAUCACCCAGCUUCCCUUCAGUGGAUUAAGAAAUAAAUAAAUAAAUCCCAUUCUGCUUAGGGAGAGUUGAGCCUUGUGGUAGCUGUGUGCUGGAAGAAUGGAGCUACUCUACAUAAAAAGACUUUCCAGAACUUCAAAACCCUCCUUUUCUGUCAAGUCUAGAAUAGUAAAAAUAUCAGGAGAUUACGUGUUUCUGAAAUGAUUAAUAAUGGUUAUUAGGGGGAAAUAAAAAGACUCUUAGAAUGUAGGAGAGCCUGAGUGUCAUAGAGCCUAUGAUUCUUUUCACUUUGGUCUCGGCUGGUACAACUUACCUUGUGUCAGAAAUCAUUUUAGAAGAUGGCACAUGUCUACCCAGGCCAUGCUUAAAAUUGUAAUAUUGGUUUAAGAUAGACACUUAUGAUAAACUAGCAAAACAUGAAAGUUCUUUGACGUUUUCAAAG